UCCGUAGGCGGUCAGAUAAGUCAGUGGUGAAAGCCCAUCGCUCAACGGUGGAACGGCCAUUGAUACUGUCUGACUUGAAUUAUUAGGAAGUAACUAGAAUAUGUAGUGUAGCGGUGAAAUGCUUAGAGAUUACAUGGAAUACCAAUUGCGAAGGCAGGUUACUACUAAUAUAUUGACGCUGAUGGACGAAAGCGUGGGUAGCGAACA
rnacentral:rRNA from 1 species